GGGGGGCGGGGNNGCCUUUGGUUAGACCGUCACGUAUGAACAGUUACUCUCAUACGUGUUCUUCUUUAACAACAGAGCUUUACGAGCCGAAAGCCUUCUUCACUCACGCGGUGUUGCUCCAUCAGGCUUGCGCCCAUUGUGGAAGAUUCCCUACUGCUGCCUCCCGUAGGAGUA
rnacentral:rRNA from 1 species